AACGAACGCUGGCGGCAUGCCUAACACAUGCAAGUCGAACGAGACCUUCGGGUCUAGUGGCGCACGGGUGCGUAACGCGUGGGAAUCUGCCCUUGGGUUCGGAAUAACAGUUAGAAAUGACUGCUAAUACCGGAUAAUGUCUUCGGACCAAAGAUUUAUCGCCCAGGGAUGAGCCCGCGUAGGAUUAGCUAGUUGGUGAGGUAAAGGCUCACCAAGGCGACGAUCCUUAGCUGGUCUGAGAGGAUGAUCAGCCACACUGGGACUGAGACACGGCCCAGACUCCUACGGGAGGCAGCAGUGGGAAUAUUGGACAAUGGGCGAAAGCCUGAUCCAGCAAUGCCGCGUGAGUGAUGAAGGCCUUAGGGUUGUAAAGCUCUUUUACCCGGGAUGAUAAUGACAGUACCGGGAGAAUAAGCCCCGGCUAACUCCGUGCCAGCAGCCGCGGUAAU
rnacentral:rRNA from 1 species